UACGGGGGAGCAAGCGUUGUUCGGAUUACUGGGCGUAAAGGGCGCGUAGGCGGCCAGCACAAGUCAGUUGUGAAAUCUCCGGGCUUAACUCGGAACGGUCAACUGAUACUGUGCGACUAGAGUGCAGAAGGGGCAACUGGAAUUCUCGGUGUAGCGGUGAAAUGCGUAGAUAUCGAGAGGAACACCUGCGGCGAAGGCGGGUUGCUGGGCUGACACUGACGCUGAGGCGCGAAAGCCAGGGGAGCGAACGGG
rnacentral:rRNA from 1 species